AUAUUCGUGCCCAAAACCAUCUCAUAUAAUUUCGAGUUUCAUUUCUUCAUCCUCGCUUGUACUUGGUAAUCGACAAACAAAGUCUUUAAAAGACUAGCGUAAUUACUUGUUCGGUGGAAUCCGGGCAAGCUAGGAAAUAUACCUUUCACUAUAGUAGUUGUUUCAUGCCAUCUCUAGAUAAAUAGUUCAACCAGUAGUAUUUCAUAUUAUUAGGAUUAACUUUUCAGCUGAAGCCCGGAAGCAAGUUCAUA